UGGGGAAUUUUGGACAAUGGGCGAAAGCCUGAUCCAGCAAUGCCGUGUGUGUGAAGAAGGCCUUCGGGUUGUAAAGCACUUUUGUCCGGAAAGAAAUCCUUGGCUCUAAUACAGUCGGGGGAUGACGGUACCGGAAGAAUAAGCACCGGCUAACUACGUGCCAGCAGCCGCGGUAAUACGUAGGGUGCAAGCGUUAAUCGGAAUUACUGGGCGUAAAGCGUGCGCAGGCGGUUUGCUAAGACCGAUGUGAAAUCCCCGGGCUCAACCUGGGAACUGCAUUGGUGACUGGCAGGCUAGAGUAUGGCAGAGGGGGGUAGAAUUCCACGUGUAGCAGUGAAAUGCGUAGAGAUGUGGAGGAAUACCGAUGGCGAAGGCAGCCCCCUGGGCCAAUACUGACGCUCAUGCACGAAAGCGUGGGGAGCAAACAGGAUUAGAUACCCUGGUAGUCCACGCCCUAAAACGAUGUCAACUAGUUGUUGGGGAUUCAUUUCCUUAGUAACGUAGCUAACGCGUGAAGUUGACCGCCUGGGGAGUACGGUCGCAAGAUUAAAACUUAAAUGAAUUGACGGGGUCAUAGCUGUUUCCU
rnacentral:rRNA from 1 species